GAGGGUAUAGCUCAAGUGGUAGAGUACAUGCUUAGCAUGCACAAGGUCCUGGGUUCAAUCCCCAGUACCCUCU
rnacentral:tRNA from 1 species